AGAGUUUGAUCCUGGCUCAGAACGAACGCUGGCGGCAGGCUUAACACAUGCAAGUCGAACGGGCGCAGCAAUGCGUCAGUGGCAGACGGGUGAGUAACGCGUGGGAACGUGCCUUUCGGUUCGGAAUAACUCAGGGAAACUUGAGCUAAUACCGGAUACGCCCUUCGGGGGAAAGAUUUAUUGCCGAAAGAUCGGCCCGCGUCCGAUUAGCUAGUUGGUGAGGUAAUGGCUCACCAAGGCGACGAUCGGUAGCUGGUCUGAGAGGAUGAUCAGCCACACUGGGACUGAGACACGGCCCAGACUCCUACGGGAGGCAGCAGUGGGGAAUAUUGGACAAUGGGCGCAAGCCUGAUCCAGCCAUGCCGCGUGAGUGAUGAAGGCCCUAGGGUUGUAAAGCUCUUUCGCCAGGGACGA
rnacentral:rRNA from 1 species